CAUGCAAGUCGAGCGGGGUUUUCGGACCUANCGGCGGACGGGUGAGUAAUGCGUAGGAAGCUGCCCGAUAGAGGGGGAUACCAGUUGGAAACGACUGUUAAUACCGCAUAAUGUCUACNGACCAAAGUGUGGGACCUUCGGGCCACAUGCUAUCGGAUGCGCCUACNUGGGAUUAGCUAGUUGGUGAGGUAAUGGCUCACCAAGGCGACGAUCUCUAGCUGGUUUGAGAGGAUGAUCAGCCNCACUGGAACUGAGACACGGUCCANACUCCUACGGGAGGCAGCANUGGGGAAUAUUGNACAAUGGGCGCAAGCCUGAUCCNGCCAUGCCGCGUGUGUGAAGAAGGCC
rnacentral:rRNA from 1 species